GGGGAUGUUUCUGGAUUCGCCAGGGUAUCGUAUGAAGUAUAAGCAUGUCUUGGUUGCUCAAGUAAAAAAGCCGAGGUUAAUAAUAACCGGAAACCAAAAUUUACAAUUCGCUGCCUAAGAAAAGGUCCAGCAGACUACUAUAAGUUUACUUACGCCUUAUACUAGUCCAACUUUAGUAAGUUAUAUUUAACUAACUCCUUUAAGUUAAACGAAUCAAAAAGGAUAGUAAGUAAAACUUUUGUUUAUUUAGUUUUUACUUACGAAUAAAAUAAAUAAACUAAACAUGUAGAAAGUACUUUUGAAAAUAUCUUGUACAGGGGUUCAAAUCCCCUCAUCUCCACCA
rnacentral:tmRNA from 1 species